rnacentral:rRNA from 1 species
GAUGAACGCUGGCGGCGUGCCUAAUACAUGCAAGUCGAGCGAACAGACGAGGAGCUUGCUCCUCUGCCGUUAGCGGCUGACGGGUGAGUAACACGUGGAUAACCUACCUAUAAGACUUGGAUAACUUCGUGAAACCGGAGCUAAUACCGGAUCAUAUAUUGAACCGCAUGGUUCAAUAGUUCAAGACGGUUUUGCUGUCACUUAUAGAUGGAUCCGCGUCGCAUUAGCUAGUUGGUAAGGUAACGGCUUACCAAGGCUACGAUGCGUAGCCGACCUGAGAGGAUGAUCGGCCACACUGGAACUGAGACACGGUCCAGACUCCUACGGGAGGCAGCAGUAGGGAAUAUUGCGCAAUGGGCGAAAGCCUGACGGAGCAACGCCGCGUGAGUGAUGAAGGUCUUCGGAUCGUAAAACUCUGUUAUUAGGGAAGAACAAAUGUGGAAGUAAAUAUGCACGUCUUGACGGUACCUAAUCAGAAAGCAACGGCUAACUACGUG